UACAGAGGUCUCAAGCGUUGUCCGGAAUCAUUGGGCGUAAAGAGCUCGUAGGCGGCUCAGUAAGUCGGGUGUGAAACCUCCAGGCUCAACCUGGAGACGCCACCCGAUACUGCUGUGGCUAGAGUCCAGUAGGGGAGUGUGGAAUUCCCGGUGUAGCGGUGAAAUGCGCAGAUAUCGGGAGGAACACCAGCGGCGAAGGCGGCACUCUGGGCUGGUACUGACGCUGAGGAGCGAAAGCGUGGGUAGCAAACAGG
rnacentral:rRNA from 1 species